UCCCUGCUGGCUCAGAAGGUAAAGAAUCUGCCUGCAAUGCAAAAGACCCAGGUUAGAUCCCCGGGUUGGGAA
rnacentral:tRNA from 1 species